AACGAACGCUGGCGGCAGGCCUAACACAUGCAAGUCGAACGGGCGUAGCAAUACGUCAGUGGCAGACGGGUGAGUAACGCGUGGGAACGUGCCCCAAGGUACGGAACAACUUCGGGAAACUGGAGCUAAUACCGUAUGUGCCCGAGAGGGGAAAGAUUUAUCGCCUUGGGAUCGGCCCGCGUCGGAUUAGCUAGUUGGUAGGGUAACGGCCUACCAAGGCGACGAUCCGUAGCUGGUCUGAGAGGAUGGCCAGCCACACUGGGACUGAGACACGGCCCAGACUCCUACGGGAGGCAGCAGUGGGGAAUAUUGGACAAUGGGCGAAAGCCUGGUCCAGCCAUGCCGCGUGAGUGAUGAAGGCCUUAGGGUUGUAAAGCUCUUUCGCCAGGGACGAUAAUGACGGUACCUGGAUAGGAAGCCCCAGCUAACUUCGUGCCAGCCGCCGCAGUAAAAC
rnacentral:rRNA from 1 species